rnacentral:rRNA from 1 species
GUGGGGAAUAUUGGACAAUGGGCGAAAGCCUGAUCCAGCCAUGCCGCGUGUGUGAAGAAGGUCUUCGGAUUGUAAAGCACUUUAAGUUGGGAGGAAGGGCAGUAAGUUAAUACCUUGCUGUUUUGACGUUACCAACAGAAUAAGCACCGGCUAACUUCGUGCCAGCAGCCGCGGUAAUACGAAGGGUGCAAGCGUUAAUCGGAAUUACUGGGCGUAAAGCGCGCGUAAGUGGUUCAGCAAGUUGGAGGUGAAAUCCCCGGGCUCAACCUGAGAACUGCCUCCAAAACUGCAUGACUAGAGUACGGUAGAGGGUAGUGGAAUUUCCUGUGUAGCGGUGAAAUGCGUAGAUAUAGGAAGGAACACCAGUGGCGAAGGCGACUACCUGGACUGAUACUGACACUGAGGUGCGAAAGCGUGGGGAGCAAACAGGAUUAGAAACCCGGGUAGUCC